CCACGGGUGGCUGCAGUGGGGAAUAAUGGGCCAUGGAGGCAACUCUGACCCAGCAACGCCGCGUGAAUGAUGAAGGUCUUCGGAUUGUAAAGUUCUUUUCUAAGGGAAGAAGAAAGUGACGGUACCUUAGGAAUAAGCCUCGGCUAACUACGUGCCAGCAGCCGCGGUAAUACGUAGGAGGCAAGCGUUAUCCGGAAUGACUGGGCGUAAAGGGUGCGUAGGUGGUUCAGCAAGUUAGUAGCGUAACUCCGGGGCUCAACCUCGGCACUACUACUAAAACUGUUGGACUUGAGUGCAGGGGGGGCAAGUGGAAUUCCUAGUGUAGCGGUGGAAUGCGUAGAUAUUAGGAGGAACACCAGUGGCGAAGGCGAGUUGCGGGACUGUAACUGACACUGAGGCACGAAAGCGUGGGGAGCGAACAGGAUUAGAUACCCGAGUAGUC
rnacentral:rRNA from 1 species